AUACGGAGGGAGCAAGCGUUAUUCGGAAUCACUGGGCGUAAGGGACGCGUAGGCGGGUUUGUAAGUCAGGUGUGAAAUCCUACAGCUCAACUGUAGAACUGCACUUGAAACUACAGACCUAGAGUAUGGAAGGGGCAGAUGGAAUUAGUGGUGUAGGGGUAAAAUCCGUAGAUAUCACUAGGAAUACCGAAAGCGAAGGCGAUCUGCUGGGACAUUACUGACGCUGAGGCGUGAAAGCGUGGGGAGCAAACAGGAUUAGAUACCCCAGUAGUCC
rnacentral:rRNA from 1 species